GACGAACGCUGGCGGCGUGCUUAACACAUGCAAGUCGAACGGAAAGGCCCUGCUUUCGUGGGGUGCUCGAGUGGCGAACGGGUGAGUAACACGUGAGUAACCUGCCCUUGACUUUGGGAUAACUUAAGGAAACUGGGGUUAAUACCGGAUAGGAUCUCCCGCUGCAUGGUGGGGGUUGGAAAGUCUCGGCGGUUGGGGAUGGACUCGCGGCUUAUCAGCUUGCUGGUGGGGUAGUGGCUUACCAAGGCUGUGACCGGUAGCCGGCCUGGGAGGGUGACCGGCCACAUUGGGACUGAGAUACGGCCCAGACUCCUACGGGAGGCAGCAGUGGGGAGUAUUGCACAAUGGGCGGGAGCCUGAUGCAGCGGCGCCGCGUUCGGAAUGACGGCCUUCGGGUUGUAAACCGCUUUCGCCUGUGACGAAGCGUGAGUGACGGUAAUGGGUAAAGAAGCACCGGCUAACUACGUG
rnacentral:rRNA from 1 species